GAUGAAAACGUAGCGAAAUGCGAUAAGUAAUGCGAAUUGCAGAAUUCCAGUGAGUCAUCGAAUCUUUGAACGCACAUUGCGCCCUUUGGUAUUCCGAAGGGCAUGCCUGUUCGAGCGUCAUUAUCACCCCUCAAGCCCUCGGCUUGGUGUUGGACGGUUUGGUGGAGGCCCCCUCGGGGGCUCCUGCCCCUCCCAAAGACAAUGACGGCGGCCUCGUUGGACCCCCGGUACACUGAGUUCUUCACGGGACACGUAUCGGACACAUGUGUUUACGGGACACGGUCUGCCUCCCCUCAGGGAGAAUCUUUCUAAGGUUGACCUCGGAUCAGGUAGGGAUACCCGCUGAACUUAAGCAUAUCAAUAAGCGGAGGA
rnacentral:misc_RNA from 1 species